CGGUGCAAGCGAGGUAGGAGUACAGUAGGCAAAUCCGCUGUACAAUCCGAAGACGUGAUGCGGACCGAAUUAAGAGUAGGGAAGUGUGUGAGCCAUGCGUCAAGAAAAGCCGCUAUUGUUUUACUUAAGCCCGUACCGUAAACCGACACAGGUGGAUGAGGAGAGAAUCCUAAGGCCGACGGGAGAAGCAUUGUUAAGGAACUCGGCAAAAUGACUCCGUAACUUCGGGAGAAGGAGUGCCAGCGAGAGCUGGCCGCAGAGAAUUGGCCCAAGCAACUGUUUAGCAAAAACACAGGUCUAUGCAAAACCGUAAGGUGAAGUAUAUGGGCUGACGCCUGCCCGGUGCUGGAAGGUUAAGAGGAGAGGUUAGCAGUAACGCGAAGCUUUGAAUUUAAGCCCCAGUAAACGGCGGCCGUAACUAUAACGGUCCUAAGGUAGCGAAAUUCCUUGUCGGGUAAGUUCCGACCCGCACGAAAGGCGUAAUGAUUUGGGCACUGUCUCAACAAUGCACCCGGUGAAAUUGAAAUACCAGUGAAGAUGCUGGUUACCUGCGCCAGGACGGAAAGACCCCAUGGAGCUUUACUCCAGCUUGAUACUGGGAUUCGGUAUUGCAUGUACAGGAUAGGUGGGAGGCUAGGAAGUGAUAACGCCAGUUGUCACGGAGCCGCUGUUGGGAUACCACCCUUGCAGUAUUGGAUUUCUAACCAGCGACCAUGAACUGGUCGGGGGACAAUGUCAGGUGGGGAGUUUGACUGGGGCGGUCGCCUCCGAAAGGGUAUCGGAGGCGCUCAAAGGUUCCCUCAGAAUGGACGGAAACCAUUCGAAGAGUGCAAAGGCAGAAGGGAGCUUGACUGCGACACCGACGGGUGGAGCAGGUACGAAAGUAGGACUUAGUGAUCCGGUGGUAUAAAGUGGGAUUGCCAUCGCUCAACGGAUAAAAGCUACCCUGGGAUAACAGGCUUAUCACUCCCAAGAGUUCACAUCGACGGAGUGGUUUGGCACCUCGAUGUCGGCUCAUCGCAUCCUGGGGCUGAAGUAGGUCCCAAGGGUUGGGCUGUUCGCCCAUUAAAGCGGUACGCGAGCUGGGUUCAGAACGUCGUGAGACAGUUCGGUCCCUAUCCGGCGUGGGCGUAGGAUAUUUGAGAGGAGCCGUCCUUAGUACGAGAGGACCGGGAUGGACUGGCCGCUGGUGUAUCUGUUGCAUACCAAAUGCAUGGCAGAGUAGCCAAGCCGGGACGGGAUAAACGCUGAAGGCAUCUAAGCGUGAAGCCCCCCUCAAGAUGAGAUAUCCCUACGUAAGUAGUAAGACCCCUUGAAGACGACGAGGUAGAUAGGUCAGAGGUGGAAGUACAGUAAUGUAUGGAGCUGACUGAUACUAAUCGGUCGAGGGCAUGACCAA
rnacentral:rRNA from 1 species